GCGCGAGCUGAUGUCGGGCGACGUGUCGGACAGUCCCGGGAGGUCCUCGGCCUUGGUGGGCGUCACCGUGAAGCGGACCGAUGACAUGGCGGGUAGCUUAGAGAGAUCUUCAGACCUCAUCUUUGCUGCAGUCAAACUGUGAAGACUUCCUCUGGGAACUGGGUGCAGCCUUGUUACCCAUCUGGCUGCCAAAUCCUCACAGGCCUCCGAUUCUCAAUCAGAGAGCUGCUCCAAAUCCAGACCCAGAACACCAUACAGCAGCACCAGAACCGGUCAGCAUCCUGUGUACCUCUGCAGCUUCUGAGGAUAAUGUCGAUGAUGACUAUAUGACGCAAACAGACGUGGUAGCAAGAUGCUGCAUAUCUUCUAUAAGUCUGUUGUGGAGAGUGUGAUCUCUUCUGCCAUCAUCUGCUGGGGAAGCAACAUCAGAGUCAGGGACUUAAAAAAGCUCAACAAACUAAUAAAGGCAGGAUCUGUACUGCAGACUCAUCUGGAACCUCUGGAGCUCAUUGUGCAAAGGAUUCUUCAUAAAAGGAAGAACAUUAUGGAGAACCCUGAGCAUCCUCUUCAUCAGACUAUUAUACAACAAGAGUGUCAUCAGUCAGAGACUUCUUCAGAUCUGCUGUAAGACGGAGCGCUACAGGAGAUCCUUCCUGCCCACAUCCAUCAGCAUCUACAACGGCUCUUUGGAGAAACCUACAUAAUGAGCUACAACAACAUUUAAUUUCCCUUUGGGAUUAAUAAAAUAUUUUCAAAUUUGAAUUGAAUUUCUGAGUUGCAUGUCAAGUCUGGAGCAUGUACAGGUCCUUCUCAAAAU